rnacentral:rRNA from 1 species
GACGAACGCUGGCGGCGUGCUUAACACAUGCAAGUCGAACGGAAAGGCCUGCUUUCCCUUGUGGAUUGCGGGUACUCGAGUGGCGAACGGGUGAGUAACACGUGAGUGAUCUGCCCCCAACUUGGGUAUAAGCCUGGGAAACUGGGUCUAAUUCCCGAUAGGACUGCAGGGUGGUGCCUGUGGUGGAAAACGAUUUUCUAGUGGUUGGGGAUGAGCUCGCGGCCUAUCAGCUUGUUGGUGGGGUAAUGGCCUACCAAGGCGGCGACGGGUAGCCGGCCUGAGAGGGUGGACGGCCACAGUGGGACUGAGAUACGGCCCAGGCUCCUACGGGAGGCAGCAGUGGGGAAUAGUGCACAAUGGGCGGAAGCCUGAUGCAGCGACGCCGCGUGGGGGAUGACGGCCUUCGGGUGGUAAACUCCUUUCGACCGCGAGGAAGCCACCUGGUUGGAAGGGUGGUGACGGUAGUGGUAGAAGAAGCACCGGCUAACUACGUG